UGGCCGGUACAGAGAGCAGCCACUACGUGAGUAGGAGCGAAUCUACAAAGCCGGUCACAGUUCGGAUCGGAGUCUGCAACUCGGCUCCGUGAAGCUGGAAUCGCUAGUAAUCGGAUAAAAGGCAUGAUCCGGUGAAUACGUUCCCGGGCCUUGUACACAAAAGGGCGUCAAGCCAUGGGAGCUGGGGGUACCUGAAGUCGGUCGCCGCCAAGGAGCUGC
rnacentral:rRNA from 1 species